AUCCUUUUGUAGUUCCUAAAUGAGAUGAUUGGGUGUUCACAUGCAUGGGUGAGAUAUGCCACCCUUGAAUCUUGUUAUGACAUCAGUACAUUUCCCAUCUGCCA
ensembl:snoRNA